rnacentral:misc_RNA from 1 species
AAAAAAAAACUGCACAGAUCUCAUCUUCAAUGUUCUCAUGCCAAACAAAUCAAAUCAUCACAAUCAAAGUCACAGAGUUUAGAUCUCUUUUGACACAAGUUAAACAGGUGAUAUAAGAGCUUAUUCUUUCAUCUCAAGAACUACAAUUAUCAGCAUCAUCUUAACCUUCACUUGUCAAGGAGGUCUAAUCAUAUUCCAAUUCAUCAGGGGUAACUGGCCGUUUGAGUGGAAUGAUGGACUUCUUCUCAACAUCCCUUGAUAAAGCUUUCCUCAUAUCUAAAUGCAGAGCACAACAGAAUAAAUAUCAGAGGCAAUGAAAGUAAUAUUUCUGUACAUCAAAACAUUAAAUGUGUUACAUCUUUCCACCUGGCAAUAUUUGAACUUGAGACCCCUUAAUGAGAUCCCAAUGCUUUAUUGCUAGGCUAUCUGUCUAGGGGAAACGGGGGAUGGAAGUUCAAUUAAAAGGAAAUAAAGAUGUUUCAGGCAGCUGUGGAAACUCACCUAACCCGUCUUCCUCCCCUGAGUAAUAGCGUAGCACUCGUCUAUAGAUUACAUACCCAAGCUUGUCAUACAUCUUUAUAGCAGGUGUAUUUGAUGCUCUAACAAAAAGAUCCACAAAGUAUGCUUUAUCACUGCAAAAUAAAAGUUGUAAAUAGAAAGAUUCUUAAACCAAUGCUAGUUAGGAUGUCAUACAAUUUACAAAGUGAAGAUGCAAUCAAACAAAAGCCUUAACCAAAUCCAAUUAAUUCCAUCUAAGACAUAAUGUUGUAUAACUGUCCUUAAAUCAAACAGUAAGGCAACAGGAGAAGAAAAUGUCUUAAAUGCCAUAAAGAGGUUCUGGGCUACACUAAUUUGUCAACUCAAUGUAACUGGAAAGCAAUAUAGUUUGCAAGGAGAAGUCAACUAUGCAGCAUAAAUUGAGAAUUAUUGUCUUACCCACAAAAGUAUAUUUCAAAGGACCUCAUAAGACUUCACUUGUCAUCUUAAGUAACUAAUACCAACAGAAAAGAAAACAAUGUGCUAAAAACCGAACCUCUCAUUGUUUUUUAAAGCUUUCCAGAAAUAGUUUCUACAUACUUGUAAGAUUAUAUCUAAUUGAAAAUAAAAUAAUAUGCUACAGCUCCAUUGUAAUCUAAAUCACCUCCCCCAUCUCUCUCUCUCUCU